rnacentral:misc_RNA from 1 species
GCGAUGAGCAAAAUCCUUUCCACGAUCAUAUCCCUUUGAUUCAAGGCAUCCACACGGUUUUGCAUAUCUUCUCGAGCAUUAAUGGAAAAAGAAUUCCCAGUUUCCGACGAAUAAGGUACACCAACAUUGGAGCUAUCACUUGAGAUCCUUUGAGGAGUCAACCCAUCUGAUGUGCUUUGCGCCUCAAUGUCAAAUUCAUCCAUACUCUCUGCUCUUGUAGGAUUCUUGCUAAAAUAUAAUGAAAAU